UCUUGAACAGCGUGUGGCUCCUCCGGGAACCACGUCACACAGGACAGAGGUCUCGGAGAUGAGCAAACAGCUCUGGGCGUUCCUGUCGUGGCUCAGUGGAAAUGCAUCUGAUCAGCAUCCAUGAGGACACAGGUGGCAGGAGCCCCUUCCCCAGAGCCAGCUCUCCCAGGGACAGGGGCGGGGCUCCCAGGCGCCUCCUCGGAGCGGACGGCAGAUGGGGUCAUCCCCUCAUGUCCUCAGGUAAGAAAGUCCUCGUUCCCGUCCUGAGUUCCCAGGGCCCAGGGCCUGCAGUUAGGUCCCCAUCAGCGGAAAAAGGCACAAGGGCCAGCCUUUUGGGGACAGGACAGCACGAUGGAGGCAAAGGAGCAUAAAGAGUCUCAGACGACCAGACACCUGUGCAGGUGACCACGCGCCCACAGGUGCCAGAGCAGAGCCUGGUGCCGGGAGCGCGGUGUCUUCACCUCGCAACCGGUGACCGUGGGACCGAGGCCUGUCCCUCCCAGGGGAUCUGCCAGGAGGCAGGAAGCAAGUCCCAAGGACAUGUCCGCAUCGGAUCAGAGGUUGGUGACAAGGCUGAGACUGCGCGUCCCAGCCACGGUCAUGGCAAGGGGAGUGCGAGGAGGGUCUGAGUGGCCCAGAAAAGGAGGGAGAGCCAUCCCAGAACGUCAGAAAAUGGCCUCAGAUUCCUGGAAUCAUCCUGCCCCCUCUGGGGUCCGGUUCUCAGGAUCUGCGUCUGGUGAACAGAGCUGAUCCUUGGCAUCACAGCCCACCCCAGACCCCGGAGACCUGACACCUCAGGCACCAGCUCAAACCCCCGUGUGGAAGCCUCAGUGCAGUCUCCGCUGCCUGCCCUUGAGAUGUCUGGAGCGCCCAUCUCAGUUGCCCAGAGAGUUGCCUCCAAUUCUACUUCUUCCUCUUCUUUCUUGAAAACACAAACUGGACACCGUAGUUCUUUACGUGUGCAUAGUGCGUAAGGAUUUCUCCAGCACAGGGUUCGAUCAGUGAGGAUCAGAAAAUGCCACAGCUCGGAAACAGAAGACACCCGCUCCUGAGUGGUUGGAGGCAGAUCUGAACCCAGAGCCACGGGAACCAACAGACCGCGUGAGCGCAGCCGCUUCUGCGCCCUUGGCACCCGUCAGCGCGGCUGGUGGAGGACUUCGCAGCCGCUGAGGCCCUGCUGGUUGUCCCUUCACCCUCUGAGAAACGCGCAGUCGAGCAGGGGGAGACCAGGGGCCUGGCUGUAACCGCCCACGCGCAGCACACACGUGGGGUCCCUUUUGGCGUUACCCCGCCUCGGCGACAGGCCCAGGUAGGGUUCCAAGGCACCGCAGUAACACGGUGAGGGUGCUGUUCCCCUCCCCGCGAUGGACACGGGCACAGGACGCCGUGGCGGCGGGGGUCGCGCUGGCUGGUGAGCGGGUGUGCCGUGUGCGCAGCA
rnacentral:lncRNA from 1 species